GGACACGGCCAAAAACAUGUAAAGUAUAAUUAUGAAAUAGAUAACGAUUCCUCCAUCCUUUCUCUCCUGUGGUGUAAAAAAUCCCUCAGGAAACUCCGAUGAAGAGGAGAGGACACAGUUCGUUCUGUUUUCUGAAAAGAACCCCCUCUCCCUGCAUAGCUGAAGCAAACAAGAGCUUUGAUUUUGGUGAAGACUGAAGCCUACUUAUUUUGCCAAGAAGUUGUGAGUGAGGUUGCUAUGCUCGUGCCCUCCUUGCAAAGCACACCCCUGGAGAGAGCAACAAAUAGAGGAAAAAAAAAAAAAAAAAAAAAAAAACAACAAAGUCUUUCAGCGUGAGGAACCAUGUGCUACAUAUCUGCAUGCUUGACCUAGUGCAAAAAUACACACAGCCAGACUGUGUUUUGGCCUCAGCAUGGCUGGCUCCUUGGUCUGGGCUAUUUCAGUCUGAGAGCCUUCUGCAAAGCUGAGGUGAGUCAACUAACAGUGCAGAUUUAUGUGUGCUGCUGCAUUUUUGGCUGCUGUUAAGAUAAAGCCCAAGCCCUUAGUAGUAAAAAAUAAUAUGUAAAUAAAAUUUUCAGAGCUUCUGAAGGAGAGAGAAGGGCAGAGGUUUGCUAUUCAGGUUGCUAACACUAAUGACCUGCCACUUAACGGGCUAUGCCAGAGUCUCCCAUGGCUGCCCAAGCACAAAGCUCUUAGAGGGAGAGGUAACCUGAAACUACAGCAGCCAUAGUUCCUUUCCUGUUGUCCAUAUUCUGAUGUAAACUAACUGUUAUAAAUCUGAAUGCCCUCUGUUCAAAUGAGGACUGUUUUAUUUUGCUACAACUUAAAGCAAAAGGAGGUUGGGCUGUCUAGAGAUCUGACUCCACCUGUGAGCUAUUUAGAGUCUGAUGGACAGGCUGAUGGGCCAGGUGGGAGAAAAUGUAUGUCAGGAUCAGUUGGUUUGUCUCUGGGCAGCAGGUACUCUUCUUCCACAGGUGAGGUAGAACUUUAGCAUUUCUGUAUGCCUAUAGAGUGAAUUGUGAAUUUCUCUGGCUUCCUUAAUUAUACGUGCACUUGCAAUUUUUUUUUUCUAACUGAAGCUGUGAGCUAUUAUUUUAGUCCUAGAUUGAUAUCUGUAUAAAAUUAGCCCAAUCUGGGGUUGAACGAGUGCACUCAGGCAGCCCUAGAGCUCAUAGGAGUGCAGCUUGCUGGUAGCUGUACCUUAGUGGUAGAGUUUCUGUCCCAGUAUGUGAUCCUUGAUAGAGCUCUGUGUUUUUCAUGUGAUGCUCUCUGUAAGUAUACACCAGUUAUGCUCCUGGUGGUAAGGCCUAAUGUACUGGGAAGCAAAUUAAGUGAAGAUGUUUUCAUCCUCAAGAAAAUCCCCAACAUUUUUUUGGUAAACCAGUAUUAUCUUUGUUUGGCAGAACAGAAGUGGAGGAUGGAGAGGCAACUGGCUGCCUGGACGAUUACUGCGAUGGGAGGCUGUGCUAGAGCUGUUCAGAAGGUGUUUGACCUUUGAGUAUUUGAGGCUAUCGUACCUGCUUUCCAUCUGCAGCUCUGGAACAGGUCCUGCUAUGUCUGCUAGCCUCAUGUGAAUGUCCUGGGUACUCUGCGGGCCCAGUACCUAUCAAGGUACAUUUCUGUCUGUUCCUAGUGCACUUGUUCCCAACUGGGUAAGCCAAGUGAUUCAUCCAUGGAAAACUGAAAACAUUCAUUUAUUUCUUCACCCAAAAAAAUGCUUUCCAGCUCUGCUCAGCUAGACAUAUGAGGAGAAUGGGAACCAAGUAGGAAUUUUCUCACCCACUUCUGCAAGUUGUUUUCAGCAUUGCUGAUGUGCAAGCUGCUUUAGUUUUGUUCCAACACAGUAUAGGUGUGUCGUGCUGAGAUGCAAUAUGACCUGCUGCUAUUGCCAGAGCAUUCUGGACUGUGGAUCAUGAACAGACAGAGCUAUUUAACUUCAGUUUCACUCCUGAAGAAAGCUUUCCUGGACUUCAGGUGCCCUCCUGUCCUCUCCAUUUCCUUUUGCCAGUGAUUUGGGUUGCCUUACCUUUGAAAGCUGCCUCUGUGGUGAAUGUGUGGUCUGGUGACAGCUGAGUGCAGUGUUACGGUGACCAGGAGCUCUGAGCAAGGCACCACGGGGCAGAAUAUAUUUUGUUAACUGACCUUGGGUUUAGUGUGGAAUACAAAAUGAGAAAGAAUUGUUCCAGAAGAAAGAAAAGUUCCAGCUGAUGCUUUGAGAUUCCUAGGGAAAUCUACUUUUGUUAAGUUUUGAAUUUUAAUUUUACACACACCAACAAAGAUAUACAACAGAAAGGUUUUAAGUAAGUAUAUUACUUUGACAGAAGUCACUGGGUUCUACGAUUAAUUCUCACCAGUAGAUCAAUGCAUUUCAUAAGCUGCAAGUCAUUCUGACAAGAUGAAACAAAUAUAAUCGUUAGUGAAAUCCUCAAAAUUCAAAACAACAGGCUGUAAAACUAGGUCAGUUUACAUCUUUUUUGGAAUAGUUUUCUCUCCAUAGAAUUUCAUACUUGACUAAUCUUGAUAAUUCACUUGACAUCUCUGGUGAUUGAUCAUAUGCUAAUUUAAACCCACAUUGUAUGCGUAAAUUCAGAACAACCUGGGGAAUGUUUCAGUAUGAUGAUGAAAAAUAAUUAACAGUUGAAUUCAAGACCACAAUGUAUUUCUGUUAAAAUACAAUUAUUUUUUUCAAGCCUGAAGAAUGUAAAGGAAAUAUGAUUGUUAUUUAGAAGUAGGUAUUUUAAUGACAGAGCUUUUUUUCCUGUGCCAGUGAAAUACUAUAUUUGAUUUUUCAGGGCAGGUUGCUUGGAAGACUAAGGUCUUAUUUUUUUAGAGCUUCUUAUACCAUCCACUAUGGGCAAUUGCUAGGCAUCUUUCUCUCAGGAGUGUCGAUAGUAGUUUAUUGGUCCCAGUCCUGCUCCUACUGAUAUCAGUGGUAAAACUCUUGUUGACUUCAGGUAGCAAAUCACAAGUCUGAUUAUCUUCAUCUGUUACGAUUUAGAUUUUACAGAAUUUCUUGAAGUGUAUAUGCAACUUCAGUUAUAUUUUACUCAGUUUUGUAAAACCCUUGGAUAAGAAGAGCUUCUAACACUGCCGUGCCCUUCUUCAUAUACUACUUAUCUUCUUCUGUCCU